AUUUUGGUGGCUGAAUUUUAGGCGGUAAAUUGUAAAUUUAUUUAUGACUUAAUUGUCCCAUG
rnacentral:tRNA from 1 species